rnacentral:tRNA from 1 species
ACCUGCCUGGCUCAGUCAGCAGAGCGUGAGAUUCUUGAUCUUGGGUUGUGAGUUUGAGUCCCACGUUGGGUG